AAGUCGUAACAAGGCUUCCGUAGGUGAACCUGCGGAAGGAUCAUUACAGUAGUCACCCGGGUUGCCGCAAGGCCUCCCGGGUAACCUACCACCCUUUGUUUAUUACACUUUGUUGCUUUGGCAGGCCUGCCCUCGGGCUGCUGGCUCCGGCCGGCGAGCGUCUGCCAGAGGACCUAAACUCUGUUUGUCUAUACUGUCUGAGUACUAUAUAAUAGUUAAAACUUUCAACAACGGAUCUCUUGGUUCUGGCAUCGAUGAAGAACGCAGCGAAAUGCGAUAAGUAAUGUGAAUUGCAGAAUUCAGUGAAUCAUCGAAUCUUUGAACGCACAUUGCGCCCCCUGGUAUUCCGGGGGGCAUGCCUGUCCGAGCGUCAUUACAACCCUCAAGCUCAGCUUGGUGUUGGGCCCCGCCGCCCCGGCGGGCCCUAAAGUCAGUGGCGGUGCCGUCCGGCUCCGAGCGUAGUAAUUCUUCUCGCUCUGGAGGCCCGGUCGUGUGCUCGCCAGCAACCCCCAAUUUUUUUCAGGUUGACCUCGGAUCAGGUAGGGAUACCCGCUGAACUUAA
rnacentral:rRNA from 1 species